rnacentral:rRNA from 1 species
AGAGUUUGAUCCUGGCUCAGAACGAACGCUGGCGGCAGGCUUAACACAUGCAAGUCGAGCGCCCCGCAAGGGGAGCGGCAGACGGGUGAGUAACGCGUGGGAAUCUACCCAUCUCUACGGAACAACUCCGGGAAACUGGAGCUAAUACCGUAUACGUCCUUUUGGAGAAAGAUUCAUCGGAGAUGGAUGAGCCCGCGUUGGAUUAGCUAAUUGGUGGGGUAAAGGCCUACCAAGGCGACGAUCCAUAGCUGGUCUGAGAGGAUGAUCAGCCACACUGGGACUGAGACACGGCCCAGACUCCUACGGGAGGCAGCAGUGGGGAAUAUUGGACAAUGGGCGCAAGCCUGAUCCAGCCAUGCCGCGUGAGUGAUGAAGGCCCUAGGGUUGUAAAGCUCUUUCAACGGUGAAGAUAAUGACGGUAACCGUAGAAGAAGCCCCGGCUAACUUCGUGCCAGCAGCCGCGGUAAA